UUACCUGAGUAUAAAUGAGUUGUAGAAUGAACAUUUUGAAGCAUUUUGAAGGGGCUGCCGCUUCCUAAGCAUAUCACCAGGAUGUUGAUGUAUUUUUCACUCGAUGCAAUACCUUCUCUAUUUAACAAGUCAUAAAGACCCCAGAACUCUAACCUAACUUUUUGCAAAAAUGCAACAAGUAAAUUUUCUCCAGUUAGAAGAAAUUCAUCCGGAACGCCUACCUCCUUCGGAGGUUUAACACUCUCCGAAACCCAUUCAAACCAAGAGCUGCUUUAAAAAAUUCAGUUCUUACACAUACAGGACAGCUGAUUCUCUUUGAUACUUGAAAGUUAAAAGCAAAUGAGGAAACAAGCAAUAUUCUCAGACUGUGUCCUGAAAGUUCACAGGAUCCAUAUUAAGGACCUCUGAAGUACCAGUUUGUUCAUUCAUUCAGAGUUACUGAGUGACAUCACGACUACAUGGGGGCGGAUAUGUGGGCAUAAAUGAUAUAUCAUUGGAGCAGGAGGGAAUACAGAGACAAUCAGUAACGGGACAUACCCAGCUCCCACUCAAGCCACGUGCUGCCAACGCCGCUUCUAGCAGAAGGGAGAAGGAAAGAGGAGCCCCGGAUGGGACCCAUCAUGGCGUCAUUUUAGCCCACCUAUUUGGAGGCAUCAGGUUCCCCACCAAGUUUCCUGCUGCAAUUUAUGAAUGGACAGUGUGGAAGAGG